rnacentral:rRNA from 1 species
AUUGAACGCUGGCGGCAGGCUUAACACAUGCAAGUCGAGCGGAGCGAGGGUGCUUGCACCUUAGCUUAGCGGCGGACGGGUGAGUAAUGCUUAGGAAUCUGCCUAUUAGUGGGGGACAACAUUCCGAAAGGAAUGCUAAUACCGCAUACGCCCUACGGGGGAAAGCAGGGGAUCUUCGUACCUUGCGCUAAUAGAUGAGCCUAAGUCGGAUUAGCUAGUUGGUGGGGUAAAGGCCUACCAAGGCGACGAUCUGUAGCGGGUCUGAGAGGAUGAUCCGCCACACUGGGACUGAGACACGGCACAGACUCCUACGGGAGGCAGCAGUGGGGAAUAUUGGACAAUGGGCGGAAGCCUGAUCCAGCCAUGCCGCGUGUGUGAAGAAGGCCUUUUGGUUGUAAAGCACUUUAAGCGAGGAGGAGGCUACUAGUACUAAUACUACUGGAUAGUGGACGUUACUCGCAGAAUAAGCACCGGCUAACUCUGUGCCAGCAGCCGCCGUAAGAC